GCGUGGCUUCCGGCAGGAGCGCGGCGCCGCUCUCCUUGCCGGGGAGGGGCAGCACGGCGACGUCGAUCUUGUCGGCGGCCGCGCC
rnacentral:tRNA from 1 species